UACGGAGGAGGCAAGCGUUAUCCGGAAUUAUUGGGCGUAAAGCGUCCGCAGGUGGCACUCAAGUCUGUCGUCAAAGACUGGGGCUUAACCCUGGAAAGGCGGUGGAAACUGAAGCGCUAGAGUGCGGUAGGGGUAGAGGGAAGUUCCCGGUGUAGCGGGUGAAAUGCGUAGAGAUCGGGAAGAACAUCGGUGGCGAAAGCGCU
rnacentral:rRNA from 1 species